AGCCGGAAUUGCUAGUAAUGGCAGGUCAGCAUACUGCCGUGAAUACGUUCCCGGGCCUUGUACACACCGCCCGUCACACCAUGAGAGCUGGGAAUACCCGAAGCCUGUGAGCCAACUGUAAGGAGGCAGCAGUCGAAGGUAGAAUCAAUGAUUGGGGUGAAGUCGUAACAAGGUACC
rnacentral:rRNA from 1 species